rnacentral:rRNA from 1 species
ACUCCUACGGGAGGCAGCAGUAGGGAAUAUUGGUCAAUGGGCGAAAGCCUGAACCAGCAACGCCGCGUGUGCGAUGAAGGCCUUCGGGUCGUAAAGCACUUUUCUGGGAGAUGAGAAAGGACAGUAUCCCAGGAAUAAGUCUCGGCUAACUACGUGCCAGCAGCCGCGGUAAAACGUAGGAGGCGAGCGUUAUCCGGAUUCACUGGGCGUAAAGCGCGUGCAGGUGGCUUGGUAAGUUAGGCGUGAAAUCUCCCGGCUCAACUGGGAGAGGUCGUCUAAUACUACCGGGCUUGAGAGCAGAAGAGGAAGAUGGAAUUCCCGGUGUAGUGGUGAAAUGCGUAGAUAUCGGGAGGAACACCAGUGGCGAAGGCGAUCUUCUGGUCUGUUUCUGACACUCAGACGCGACAGCUAGGGUAGUAAACGGGAUUAGAGACCCCGGUAAUCCUAGCCGUAAACGAUGUAAACUUGGCGUUGGUGGGUUAAACUCCAUCAGUGCCGCAGCAAACGCG